GACGAACGCUGGCGGCGUGCUUAACACAUGCAAGUCGAACGGAAAUUCCCUGCUUUUGUCUUGUGCUCGAGUGGCGAACGGGUGAGUAACACGUGAGUAACCUGCCCUUUACUUUGGGAUACCUUCAGGAAACUGAGGCUAAUACCGGAUAUGAUCUCCUGCUGCAUGGUGUGGGUUGUAAAGUUUCGGGGGUUGGGGAUUGACUCGCGGCUUAUGAGCUUGUUGGUGGGGUAGUGGCUUACGAAGGCUGUGACGGGUAGCCGGCCUGGGAGGUUGACCGGCCACAAGGGGACUGAGGGACGGCCCAGACGGCUACGGGAGGCAGCAGUGGGGAAUAUGGCACAAUGGGCGGAAGCCUGAGGCAGCAACGCCGCGUGCGGGAUGACGGCCUUCGGGUGGUAAACCGCGUCCGCCUGUGACGAAGCGUGAGUGACGGUAAUGAGUAAAGAAGCACCGGCUAACUACGUG
rnacentral:rRNA from 1 species